rnacentral:rRNA from 1 species
UGAACGCUGGCGGCAGGCCUAACACAUGCAAGUCGAACGGCUCUUCGGAGCAGUGGCGGACGGGUGAGUAACGCGUGGGAAUGUGCCCUUUGGUACGGAACAACACAGGGAAACUUGUGCUAAUACCGUAUGUGCCCUUCGGGGGAAAGAUUUAUCGCCAUUGGAGCAGCCCGCGUUGGAUUAGGUAGUUGGUGGGGUAAAGGCUCACCAAGCCUACGAUCCAUAGCUGGUCUGAGAGGAUGACCAGCCACACUGGGACUGAGACACGGCCCAGACUCCUACGGGAGGCAGCAGUAGGGAAUCUUGCGCAAUGGGCGCAAGCCUGAUCCAGCCAUGCCGCGUGAGUGAUGAAGGUCUUAGGAUUGUAAAGCUCUUUCACCGAUGAAGAUAAUGACGGUAGUCGGAGAAGAAGCCCCGGCUAACUUCGUGCCAGCCGCCGCAGUAAUAC